rnacentral:lncRNA from 1 species
AGAGAGCAUUAUCGAAAAAAGAAUAUUGGUAUUAUCAUUCGAGAAGAAUCUGAAUUGAAGAUGAUGCGUAAGGCAAGAUAAGAUUACUUUUUCUUUUCUUAAGCUCAUACUUUAUUUUCCAAGACAAAACAUCUUAUAUUUGUACGCUGUCAGGAAAAUCAAAGAAAACAUCGAGCAAAGGAAAAAGGGAAGGAGUUACAAAAAGGAAAAGGAAAAGAAAAAGAAAAUCAACCCCCCAAUUUGCAUGUGGUAAGUAUACAAUAUUCCAGACUUUUACGUUAGUAGUUACAAAUAUUUGUUACACAAAGUCAUUUAAACAAAAUAUUUGAACCUAAUUUAUUAACGACACCGGUACUAGACUUAUCAUAGUCAAGUGUGGUGCUUUAGUACUUGAAGCAAAGAUGCUUUAGUACUUGAAGCAAAGAUGAUAAUUUAUUAACGACACUAUGCCUUUUUAGGUUUAUAAUUAUACAUCUUUUUAGGGUUUCAAUAAUAAUAUUAUUGACGAAAGCAAUAAACAUAUUGCAUAGCGCUUUCGUGUGAAAUACAAAACCAAGCAAACUGAAUAUAUGCACCCUAAUCCGAAUAAAUAUAAAACAUUAUUUUCUGCUCAAAUAAACACUACGACUUCUUCUCUUUACACUUAGAUAUCUAUUGUUAUUUGUAGGGAUCCAAUAAAAAUAUCCUUGACGAAGCUCCAAUUCCUCGAUGUAAAAGACGAGAAAGGGAUAGUGGUGAUGUGCGUCCAAUACAUAUUGCUCAGCGCUUGCGUUGUGAAAGAGAGAAGCAAGUAAAAAUAAUACAAUCUCAACAAUAUCCAUGUCAACAAAGAUUUUUCCCUGGUUUGAUCCCCAGGCCAUCCAACCGCGCAGCUUAUGAACGGGAUUGUAUCGCGAUCAAGAAUCAUUUUUAUCAGCGAUCAUCGUUGUUAAAACCUGCGCCAUCGGAUUCUAAUCGAAUUCCUCCAGUUCUGAUUUUACCACCUCAAGGGUUAUAUUCAACUAACUCAAAUUCAAUGGGUGCAGAAAUCCUCCUUCCACCAAAUAAUAUAGAGCAUGUACAUGACUCCCGUACCAUUAUAUCAUCUUCCAUGCCUACAUCACCAACUUUUGGGUUAGUUCAAUGCAAAUUAUUUCUAACUAUAUACCAUAAGGAGUGUUACGAUAUAUGUGAACUAUUUGAAACAAGUUCAUUUAUUUUUUAGGUUAUUACCAAUUAUUCAGUCAACCCUUGAUGAAGCUUGCGUACAAGAGGAGGCAUUGCCUACAACUAUAGCCCCUCUGCCGAUCCUAUUUUAGGAAGACACUACCUCAAUAAAAUGAAUAUACAGUGUCCUCACUGCUCAGCAUUGCAUUGGAAAGCCGAAAAGUUAACAAAUUCAUCUGUUGACCGCCCUUUCUUUGGAACAUGUUGUUUGCAAGGAAAGAUUCGACUUCCCCAACUAUUAACUCCUCCUCCGAAAAUUCAAUCAUUAUAUGAUGGCAAUGAUGAUCAGUCAAAGUCCUUUCGAAGUUAUACCUGACUGUACAAUGCGUCUAAUGCUUUUAUGAGCUUAGGUGUACAUAUGGAUGAUAGAGUGGUUCCUGGUAGGGGUCCCAACGCAUUUACAAUCCAUGGGGAAUUGCGACAUCGGACAGGGUUACUACAACCUCCAGCCGGUCAAGAUCCAGUAUAUGCACAGUUGUACAUUCACGAUGCCGCAGUUGCUUUAGAAUAUCGUUCUCGAAGAAACCCGAAUCUGCGAGAGGAUGUCCUAAGAACAAUCCAGGAUAGUCUUUUGAGAUACAACUCAUUUUCGGGUAAGUUUAGACAUGCAGCUGCAAUUUUAAGCAGGGAAGAUUUGAACAAUCACGACAUCCCAGCAUACCUUCAUUAUAGUGCAGCAAAAGACCGUCGAACUCAUAAUUUACCCACGUCAGAGGAGGUUGCUGUCAUAUUACCUGGAGAUGGUGCUGAAUUCUCUGCGAUGAGGGAUAUUAUUGUACGGUUAAGAGGGAGUGACCAGUUGAUGCAGAUAAAUGAAUGUCAUCCAGCUUAUUUACCACUACAUUACGUAUUGUUGUUUCCGUAUGGUGAGCUUGGAUGGGAACCAGAUUUUAAGCAGUGGGAUGUCAAUCAAGGUAAAGCUUCAUCAAAAAGACUUACGCAAUUGCAAUAUUAUGGGUAUCGUUUGUUUGAAAGACCUACUGAGUAUUCAACUAUCUUGAGGGGUGGAAGAUUAUUUCAAGAGUUUAUUGUAGAUGCAUGGGCGGCAACAGAGCAGAAUCGAUUAACAUAUUAUAGGCUCAACCAACAAAAAUUACGAUCUGAUCUAUACCAAGAUCUGGUCGAGGUAGUUCCUGAUGGGUUAGAGGCUAAUCAAGUUGGUAAACGAGUAGUUUUGCCUUCUUCUUUUUCUGGGAGUCCAAGGCAAAUGUUUGAAAUCUUCCAAGAUUCUAUGGCCAUAACUCGGUAUAACCAACACCCUGAUAUUUUCUUAACUAUGACUGCAAAUCCGAAUUGGCCCGAGAUAAAAGAUGCACUGUUACCACAUCAAACGUCAAUUGACCGCCCAGACUUGGUGGCCCGCGUAUUUGAAUUGAAGCGACGAGCUUUGAUGAUGGAAAUUGAUAAGAAGAAAGUAUUUGGUGCAAAGGUGGCACAUGUUUUCACGAUUGAAUUCCAAAAGCGUGGGUUGCCGCACAUGCAUUUGCUAAUAUUUCUUCAAGGGUCUGAUAAAAUACGAACACGUGAACAGGUAAAUCGAGCUGUGUGUGCCGAAUUCCCCGAUCCAAUUUCUGAUCCACUUCUAUAUGAAACAGUUAAAACUUGCAUGGUACAUGGACCAUGUGGUGUUCGAAAUCUUAAAUCACCAUGUAUGGAAGAUGGUAAAUGCACUAAGAGAUAUCCUAAAUAUUGGGCAGAAGAAACUACAAUGGGCGAAGAUGGGUAUCCGAUAUAUCAAAGGCGCAAUGACGGUCGAAAACAUUGUCUAAGGUCUGGACAUGAAGUUGAUAAUAGAGAUGUUGUACCAUAUAAUCCAUACCUCUCUAGAUUGUUUAGUUGCCAUAUAAAUGUGGAAGUUUGUGCAGGAGUAAGGUGCGUAAAGUAUAUCAAUAAAUACAUCUACAAGGGUUACGAUCGCACAACUUUGGUAUUGGGGGCCGUAGAUGAGAUUAAGCAGUAUAUUGACUCGAGGUACAUUGGGCCUACAGAGGCGGCAUGGCGGAUAUUUGGAUAUCCUAUGCAUCAAGAGUUCCCUCCAGUUAUACGUCUGGUAGUUCACCUAGAGGGAAAACAUCACGUCUGCUAUAACCCGUCUGAACCAAUAGCUGCAAUAUUGAACAGAGCAGAGGAUCAGCAGACAACUCUAACAGGAUUUUUUGCAUGCUGCUCUACUAAUGAUUUAGCUCGAACUCUCACAUACCAACAAUUUCCAAAGCAUUUCGUUUGGCAAAAGAAAGAACAGCUCUCGACAGAGAGACAAAUGGGUUUUGCAAUCGGAAGAAUGUAUUUUGCCAGUCCAAAUGAAGGUGAACGGUUUUAUCUGCGUUUUCUGUUGAUGGUUGUAGAGGGACCUCAAUCUUUUCAAUGUUUAAGAAAAGUUGAUAAUGUUGUACACCCCACAUAUAAGGCAGCAUGUAUUGCAAAAAGGCCUUUUGGAAGACGAUGAAGAGUGGAUUCAAUGUCUUAGAGAAACAUAAAUAAUGAGAACAGGCUCUCAAUUAAGAAGGUUGUUUUCUAUUAUCUUGACACAAUGCUCUCCUUUAAAUCCAGAAGCGUUGUGGAACCAAUUUUCUAUGCAUAUUUGUGAUGAUUUAUCACACAAAAUAAGUACAUGUUAUGGCAUUGAUGUUCCUACAAUGCUCAAAUUUGUGAUUAUGGUUUAUACCUUAUUAAUCUUUUGCUUUAGGAGUCGGGUAAGAACUUAUCAGAUUACCCACCAAUGCCACUGCCAAAUGCUAAUUGGAGAAUUAUCGUUGGCAAUCGACUUAUAUGGGAACAUAGGCAGUUAUAACUUGAAGUUGAUCAAAUAAAUGUCCAGCAAAACAUUGAUCUACUGAAUGAAGGUCAGCGUAUGGCUUAUAAUGCAAUCAUUUCAUCUGUUUAUGAAAAUAGAGGAACAACCUUCUUUCUGAGUGGGGGUGCAGGAACUGGAAAGACUUUUCUCUACAAUACAAUUGUCAAAAAAUGUCGUUCCUUAUGCGAUAUAGUAAUUACAGUAGCAUCCUCUGGAAUUGCUUCUGGGUUGUUACAUGGGGGACGUACUGCACAUUCAACAUUCUGCAUUCCACUUAACGUAUUAGAAAAUUCAGUUUGUGGAUUCACGAAGCAAUCAUCACACUCGGAAUUAUUUCAGAAGGCUAGACUAAUUAUAUGGGAUGAGGUUCCAAUGCAGCAUCGUCAUUGUGUUGAAACAGUUAAUCAGACUUUACAAGACAUUCGUGAUAACUCCCAACCAUUUGGAGGUGUUACUGUUGUUCUUGGGGGAGAUUUUAGGCAGAUUCUUCCUGUUAUACCUAGAGGUCUUCGUGAGCAUAUAGUGGCAGCAUCACUACGACGUUCUUUGCUUUGGAAAGAUAUACAUGUCUUGGCAUUACAAGUUAACAUGCGCUUGCACGAUGACCAAUCAUUAUUAUUUGAUUUCUCGGCUUUUCUUAAUGAGGUUUGAGUAUUUGUAUCUUUAUUCAUAUUGACAUCUAUAUAUUGUCGAUAAUAUUUGAUAAUUUACUAAUACUUCAUUAUUGUGUAGAUUGGGUCUAACCCUCAAGAAUCUAUACAACUUCCAGAUUCAAUAAAAAUAACUCAAAGUGUGGAUAAUCUUAUCUCGACCAUCUACCCAGAGCUAGAAGUGCCAAGUAAAGUCACUCCUGAAUUCUUAAAAGAGCGCACAAUUCUAUCUGCUAGAAAUGAUGAUGUCAAUGAUAUCAACCUAGCUGCGUUGGCGGUUUUCCCGGGAGAAGUACAUACAUACUUUGUUGCUGACAAAAUGGUUGAAGAUGAUGAUGUGGAUCAGACUAUUAUGCAUCGGUACCCGAAUGAAUAUUUGAACACACUCAAUCCCCCUGGACUACCACCGUUCAAAUUAGAUUUAAAAGAGGGUUGUCCAAUAAUGCUUCUAAGGAACAUUGCACCGAAAGAUGGCCUUUGUAAUGGUACUAGACUUAUCAUAGUCAAGUGUGGUGCUUUAGUACUUGAAGCAAAGAUUUUAAAUGGUGAUAAACAUGGCGACUUGGUAUUCAUUCCACGAAUUUCUUUGACUCCUUCUUCGUCUGAGUUGAGUAUUAAAAUGACAAGAAGACAAUUCCCAGUGAGGUUAGCGUAUGCAAUGACAAUGAAUAAAUCACAGGGCCAGUCUGUCAAAUUUGUUGGAGUAGAUUUACGUACGCCAGUAUUUAGUCAUGGUCAACUAUAUGUAGCUCUGUCAAGAUGCACAAGUUCUUCCCACUUAUGCAUACUUCUUCGUGAAUUAACUGACAAGUCCACAACAAAUAUCGUCUAUCCUGAAGUUUUGCUAUAAUUUUAUAUGUUUGAGGUAUCAUUUCUUAUCUCCGUGCAUUAUUGAUCUUCUUCCGAUAAAAGUCUUGAUAUGUUUUGAAUUGACUAAUAAAAGUUUUGAAUUAACUCACAAGGCCACAACAAAUAUUGUCUUUAUAUAUGUGUUAAUUGUUGAAUAGUUGAAUAUUUGCUAACAACUAAAAAUGAGACUGAUGCUUGAAUAAGUUGUGGCAUCGUUGUAGUUGUGGCAUAUGCUAGCAAGACUCCUGAUGGGUAUAUGUGAGUCCUACAGUCAUGUGAAAUUGAACUUUCUAGGACUAAUAAGUUUUCCUAUAGAAAUAGCAAGCCCCAUAAAUUAUUGUAGGGUGUAAUACAAUAUUUUUAGUUGAUCAAAAAGAAACUUAAAAAACAUGAAGUACAGGUACUCAAAUUACAAUACCGUAUAUUACACAUACAACCUCAUGUUUUCUUAUCCACGUGAUACAUUUGUCAACUUAUUUUACAGAUGAUGUCUUCGUAAAAGUUACUCAUUUUUUAAUUUGCAGAAAAUUGGUUUACAUUUCCUUGCUCUUUUCUGUGUAAGCAAAUCUGAUAAUGUUUUGAGAGUAUGAUACCUCCACUGAAUAACAAUUCCUGCUUUGGCCAACUAAAUACAUGAUUUAGUAAUAUAUGAAAAUCAGAUAACAUAUCUUAUAGAAAACCAUUCAGAUAACAUACGAGUAUAUAUAUAUGUGUGUGUGUAUAUGUGAAGCACAAAUUUGAGAAGCUGGAUCAUCGCAGUUAACAUAAUAAGUUUGUCUAUGUUGGCUGAGCUAUAAUAUGUUUAUUAUAUAUAACUUAUGUUUUAGUUUUACUUGCACAUGAAUCGAUCAAUUUGUACAUAUAUCCUUUUCAUUAUAUUUUGUUAUCAAUUUCCAAGUAGAUGAUUUAAUUUGUUGAUAUAACUAAACGAUUCAUUUCAAUUUUUGCAGUCUUGGGAUGAUAUUGCUAUUGAAUGGAAACGUGUUCAUUCAACAACAAGUCGAGGGUGGAAAAAAGUUAA